rnacentral:rRNA from 1 species
AUAAGCGAAAGGAAACACCUGUUCCCAUCCCGAACACAGCAGUUAAGCUUUCGCUGCCGAUGAUACUUCUCUGAGGGAAAG